rnacentral:rRNA from 1 species
GACGAACGCUGGCGGCGUGCUUAACACAUGCAAGUCGAACGAUGAAGCCGGAGCUUGCUCUGGUGAAUUAGUGGCGAACGGGUGAGUAACACGUGAGUAACCUGCCCUUGACUCUGGGAUAACUGCUAGAAAUGGUAGCUAAUACCGGAUACGACCCUCGGAGGCAUCUCCAGGGGGUGGAAAGAAUUUCGGUCAGGGAUGGACUCGCGGCCUAUCAGCUAGUUGGUGAGGUAACGGCUCACCAAGGCGACGACGGGUAGCCGGCCUGAGAGGGUGACCGGCCACACUGGGACUGAGACACGGCCCAGACUCCUACGGGAGGCAGCAGUGGGGAAUAUUGCACAAUGGGCGCAAGCCUGAUGCAGCAACGCCGCGUGAGGGAUGACGCCUUCGGGUUGUAAACCUCUUUUAGUAGGGAAGAAGCGAAAGUGACGGUACCUGCAGAAAAAGCACCGGCUAACUACGUGCCAGCAGCCGCCGUAA